CCCAGCAUCACCCCCCACAUCAUCCCAGGGUCAGCUCAGUGUUACCCUCAGUGUCACUCUAUCAGUACUGAAAUUUGUGCUCCCCUAUCUAUUAGCAAUUUUACCCAAUGCCUUUGAGGACAGACUUCAAUCAAAAUCCGCGUGCCAUUGUCGCUCAUCCUUUGAUCAAACUCCCCUUGCCGGACAGGCAGACCCAAUCACCUGCUUGUAAUCAGUCUUUUGUUGUUGUUUACAGCCUGAAGCAGUGAUGGAGCACCUGGUGAGGGGUGUGGGCAGCCCUGCCAGCACAGGUGGAAGCAAUUUGCCUGUGGGACCGGAUAGGGCUGAGCUUGGCUCCACCCCCUCCCUGCCCAUAUUUAAGGGCUGGGAACAGCCAGGGCAGCAUUCAGCUUGGGAUCUGCCUCCAUGGGAGCAUUGGGAGCCAGUUCUGCUCGUUGGAAUGGGGGCUGUGAUCUUUCCUGUUUUUGGGGCAUCCUGACCACAUUUGAGUGCUGGCAGAUGUAAGGGCAGCGUUGAUCUCUGGAGGCUGUCUCCUGUGGAGCAUGGGGACUUCACCUGACUGCCUCGACUUCUCAAAUACCACUGAGAGUGGCUCGGUGACUGCAGCACUGAAUUCCCUCAGAGCUCUGGGACUCGUCUCAUCAGGACCCAAAGACUCCUGGAUGCUCGGGUCCUCAGGUGCUCCAGAACCUGAUCUCCCAUCACAGUGUGGGAUAGGGAGGGGUCUAUGGGACCGGCAUUGCUUCCUCAAUCCCCACCUACCAAACCAAAGGUGAGGGCGGUGUAUAAUGAGCAGUUAUCAGAGAAGAUGGAAGAUGGAUGUUGUUGGGUACCUCAGCCUUCUCCUUGUCUGUUGUUCCCAGCUCAGUGCUGCUGGUAAGCAGCAUCGUGUGCAGAGCGCAGCCACGUUGAUCAGAGAAAGGAGUGCAGGUUUGUGAAAGAGGCACAUCUGCAGGGCAGUGCCUUCAUUACUGCGUUGUGUCCCACAGGUGGCAGCAGGCUGCGGCGCUCCCGAGUGCCGUAACGACUGCAUGGAGAUGCGUGGCUCUUAUGGGAGCAGCAAGGAACCGGAAUCUGCAUUUCCUGGGAUGCCCGGAACCCCGCUUUGCUGGCUGGUAAUUGUCUGCCCAGCAGGUGGCAGCAGAGUUGCGUUGCUCCUGAGCGCUGUAAGGACAGCACGGAGAUGCGCGGCUCUUCAGGCAGCAGCAAGGAACCGGAAUCUGCAUUUCCUGGGAUGCCCGGAACCCCGCUUUGCUGGCCGGUAAUUGUCUGCCCAGCAGGUGAAGAUGCCUUCGACGCUUCCAGUCGAUGACUUCCCCCCUGCGACGCCAUUGGCUUUCCAGGCCUCCCACACUCACCGCCAGCUCGGUUCGGUCAACCGUUACCCGAAUCCCCGCUCCGUUCCCUUUCCAUGAUCUUCCUGUCACUCUGCCACAAGCCCCUACCAAGGUCAUCGCAGGCAGCGUGUGGGAUGCGGCGCUCGGUCUCAUUGCAGUUCAUCCCAUCGGCCUCAGCCCAGCGAUCCAACCCACCCGCACCCUUCCUGAGGGCCCUUCUGCUCCCAGGCCAAUCCACGCUUCCUUCUGAUGCCAUCUGCGUUCCUUCCAGGCCAUUUUCAGACUCGUGCCCCUUUGUGGCCAUUUUGAGAGUUGCGCUGAUUUCAGCGUGUGCAUUCAAUUGACUUCAACCAAAUUGGCUUUAGCUUGACAUACAAUUAAUGUAAACCAAAUUGGCUUUAGCUUUACAUUCAAUUAAUGUAAACCAAAUUGGCUUUAG